rnacentral:tRNA from 1 species
GUCGGGAUAGCUCAGUUGGUAGAGCAGAGGACUGAAAAUUCUUGUGUCACCAGUUCAAAUCUGGUUCCUGGCA